AUGAAGGAGAGUGGAAUGAGAAGAAGAAAGCAUGACAGAAGAGAAGGAUGAGAGGGACAAAAAGGAAGGGCAUGAGAGAAGAGAUGGAUGAGACGAGAAAAGGAUGAGAGGGAGGAUCAUACAAGUGAGAACAUCGCUACAGGGAUGAGAGAAGCUUUAGCUGAUUGGGGACUAGAUGAGAGUCGUCGAGUCUGUAUAACAACAGACAAUGCCGUGAACAUGGUGAAAGCUGCCGCCCUGAACAAGUGGAUUGCAGUGCUUUGGCCACAGACCGCAUCUUGCAGUUGACAUCAAAGAAAUGACAAACAGCCAGAGUCUGCAGAUGAAG
ensembl:lncRNA